CCACUAAGAAAUAAGCUUAGAAGUAUUUUUAAUUUAAUUUUUGAGAGACAUCUUUUACAUUGCAGAAUAAAAGCAAGAAGAUGUUAAUGCACUUAAUGUAGCACUACUUCAGCAGAGAAAAAUAGAAAAACAAGAAGUAAAAAAAAAAAAAAAAAACAAAAACAAAAAACCUACAGCUGAAAACAGUUUACCCUCCCACUAGGUUAAAGCCCACUGAAAUAAAGCCCAGGAGAGGAGAGAGAGGGAAUAGCACAAAGGCUUCUGGGGAUGGGAAGGCUUUAAAAGCUGAAGCAGCAGUUAAGUUGGCUGCUUUGCAACUGAGAGCAGUACUCAGAGUUAAAUGAAGUUAAAAGUAACCUGUUUCCCCCCUUACCUGAUUUAAAUUGGUUUUCUUCUUCUGUCAUGUGAGAAGUAAUACCUUAGGGGAAAAAAAAUGUUAUCUUACAUGGUUUAUAGGAAACUUUCUUUCUUUUCAUGGGAGUUUUGUUAUUUUAUGACAAGAGGCAAUGUUUUUAUUCUGGUAGCAAUCUAGGUCUGUAUUUGUUUAACCUGUAUGUUUGCUUACAGACUGAGACUUCAGUCUCUACUUCCUGCUGCUAUAUUACAUUAUUGUGCUAAAGAAAGAAGUGGUUAAGGAAUGAGCAGUAAACCCCCUAAUAACUACAGAGAUGCUGAAAUACACUUUAUUUGACACUUUUCUGUCUCCUCUGCUUCUGGCAACCUUCAAAAUCCUCAUCAAGCAGGCUGAUGGCUACACUAAAAGACAACUUCUUACUACUACUGCUCCCUGCUAUUUUCUUAAUAUGCUACUGCACAGCCUGGAACUGGAAACUGAUUAAUUCCCAAAAGGCAAAGGGGCUGCCUAAAGAACAGUGCAGCACAGCUAACUGGGGAUUGCAAUACAAAGAUGGAUCUAACAUAUUACUUAGGUGCUCAGUUACAGCUAUAUGAUUCAAGGUACUUUAAAAAAAAUAAAAAUCCUGACAGGCAUCCUGCUAAAUCAUGUGAUAAUGCACAAUAUGAACAUCACCCAGAAUCAUCAUCAGCACUUCCUGCAGAUUAUGGGGAAAGAUUUCAUCAUGCAUGAAAUAUUGGGCAGGACUUGGCUAUCUCAUUCCCAGGAGCUGGUGCUUGGGUCUAACCACUGUACUCAAAGGGGCUUCUGCUUUGCAAUCUUUCCCAUUUGUAGGCAUGGUCACUUCAUGGGUCUGGCCCUCUCUAAUAGACUAACCCUAUGCAUGGAACAAUGCAAGAACACCACUGUCUUCCACAAGCAGAUGAGGGAUGACUCCCUCUGCUUUCCCUCUUUCCCCUUCAUAUACUGAGCCUGUGCUUGCCAUCAGUAGGCAAGUGAUGAGUGCCUGGAUGGACACCAGAUGCAAGGCUAAACCAUCCAAAUACAAGUGAUUCUGCCCACAGAACAGGGAGGGAAAUAGCAGAGAAGUAUUUCUGCAUUGACAUGGGAGCCUCCUUAGGGAGGACUGCAGCAGAUGAGUGCUCAGUUAUUCCCUAAUAGCCUUUUCUCCUUUCAUGAGUUUUGGCUUCUCCAAUUUUUUCCCAACCCAGACUGAACACAGCCCUCAGUGUAAUACAGAUGACUGCUUUCUUAGUAGGCAAAAAGGACUCUCCCUGAAGAGAUUUCUGAUUUCCUAGAGUGUGCCACUCUCCACAAGUGUGCAGACAACUCAGCACAAAAAUAGUGAUUGUGCCAGUAUGCUCUCCUUAUGCCCAAUUGCAGCCUGUACCAAAGAAUGAGGAUAUUCAUGAAAUGUCAAGUGCCCAGAUCAGAUGGUUUUGACUUGAUUAGCUCUCCACUCAAAUGCUGUCAAAUCAGAAAAUGACAUUGUAGCUGACUGUUGAAUGGACAAGGAGAAAAUGUCAUGGCUGCGUUUUACUCCCCAGGUAUUGCAAUUAAGACCAAAAGGGAAUUCAAUGAGAAGAUGUCUUGCACUGAUGGGUCCCUGAGUGAAAAUGGCAGUAGAAGGAGCAAAUUAGCUGAUCUGGUAGCUUACACCUGACAGUCCAUUCAAGAAUUGAUUGUGAUUAGCUGUGCAGUUAAAAAAGAUCGGGGCAGGUAUUACUUGGUUGCAUGAUCCUGAAGAACACACUUUGUUUUGUAGCAGAGUUGAAA